rfam:Callithrix jacchus chromosome 6, whole genome shotgun sequence
CGGUUCCUGCUUCAACAGUGCUUGGACGAACUCG